CGGGACUUCCGGUCGGCGCCGCCUGCGAAGUGCUCCGCGGCCGGCGGAGACGCGGGCAGCCAGCGAUGGCCGCGGAGGGGGCGAACUGGGUUCCGGCCCUCGGAGGCUGACGGAAGGCGGUGGCUGAGGAGCGGCGCCUCUGGUUGAGCGCUCGCCGUGUGUCCCGCACCUGUCUGUCCUGCCGCCGCCCGGUAAGCACAGCACAGCACCGCACAUCUCCAGUCGGACUGGCUACAUUUCAAGGGCUCAACCAUCACGCGUUACCAGUGGCUACUGCAUCAGACUGUGCAGUGCUAGAUGGGGAGUCAGAAGAGAAACCAAGUGAUUUCCAUGUCAAGUGGUGAACAGGCUAAGAAGAAAAGUAAAUUGGGGAAAGAGCAUGGGGAAUGUGGGGGUUGCUGUUUGAAAGAGGAUGGUUGGGAAGGCUGAAGAGCUGUCAUUCGCAGAGGGACCCAAAAGAGCCUACUCCGAGUGAAGAUGAUGAAGAUGAAGACCGUUAUGAUCCACUUCCACUUAAUGAAAGAUGAAUAUAUUUUCUCUUCCUAAUGAUUUUUUUUUUUUUUUUUUUGGAGACAGAGUCUCGCUGCAUCCCCCAGGCUGGAGUACAGUGGUAUGAUCUUGGCUCACUGCAACCUCUGCCUCCUAGGUUCAAGUGAUUCUCCUGCCUCAGUCUCCCGAGUAGCUGGGAUUACAGGCGCCCACCACCAUGCCCGGCUAAUUUUUGUAUUUUUAGUAGAGAUGGGGUUUCACUAUGUUGGCCAGGCUGGUCUCAAACUCCUGACCUCAGGUGAUCUGCCUGACUUGGCCUCCCAAAGUGCUGGGAUUACAGGCAUGAGCCACCUUGCCUGGCCUCUUCCUAAUGAUUUUUUAAAGUACAUCUUGUUUUCUCUGUCUUACUUUAUCAUAAAAAUAUAUGAUACAAAUAAAAUACAGAAUAUGUGUUAAUGGACUGUGUAUGUUAUGAGUAAGCCUUCCAGUCGACAGUGGGCUAUUAUUGGUGGUUAAGUUUUGGGGGAGUGUGUGUUCAAGGGUCAACCGCACUUCCUGAGGGCACUGUGAGAACUAAGUUAAAUAACCCACUUUUACAAUCUUUGGAACCGGGGGCAGGUGGCUGGGGCUCACACCUGUAAUUACAGCACUUUGGGAGGCUGAGGCAGGAAGAUCCCUUGAGGCCAAGAGUUUGAGACCAGCCUGGGCAACAAAGCAAGACUCUGUCUCUACAAAAAUUUU
rnacentral:lncRNA from 10 species